GACGAACGCUGGCGGCGUGCUUAACACAUGCAAGUCGAACGGAAAGGCCCUGCUUUUGUGGGGUUCUCGAGUGGCGAACGGGUGAGUAACACGUGAGUAACCUGCCCUUGACUUUGGUAUAACUUCAGGAAACUGGGGCUAAUACCGGAUAGGAGCUCCUGCUGCAUGGUGGGGGUUGGAAAGUUUCGGCGGUUGGGGAUGGACUCGCGGCUUAUCAGCUUGUUGGUGGGGUAGUGGCUUACCAAGGCUUUGACGGGUAGCCGGCCUGAGAGGGUGACCGGCCACAAUGGGACUGAGAUACGGCCCAGACUCCUACGGGAGGCAGCAGGGGGGAAUAUUGCACAAUGGGCGGAAGCCUGAUGCAGAAACGCCGCGUGCGGGAUGACGGCCUUCGGGUUGUAAACAGCUUUCGCCUGUGACGAAGCGGGAGUGACGGUAAUGGGUAAAGAAGCACCGGCUAACUACGUG
rnacentral:rRNA from 1 species